AGGGCACCACCAGGAGUGGAGCCUGCGGCUUAAUUUGACUCAACACGGGAAAACUUACCUGGUCAGGACACCGGAAGGAUUGACAGAUUGAGAGCUCUUUCUUGAUUCGGUGGGUGGUGGUGCAUGGCCGUUCUUAGUUGGUGGAGCGAUUUGUCUGGUUAAUUCCGAUAACGAACGAGACUCUGGCCUACUAACUAGACGUUGGAUCUCUUUGUGGGUCCAUCACAGCUUCUUAGAGGGACGGGCGGCGUUUAGCCGCACGAGAAUGAGCAAUAACAGGUCUGUGAUGCCCUUAGAUGUUCUGGGCUGCACGCGCGCUACACUGAAGGAAUCAGCGUGUGUACCCUGUCUGAAAAGACUGGGAAACCCGAUGAACCUCCUUCGUGAUGGGGAUUGGGGAUUGCAAUUAUUCCCCAUGAACGAGGAAUUCCCAGUAGGCGCGAGUCAUAAGCUUGCGUCGAUUACGUCCCUGCCCUUUGUACACACCGCCCGUCGCUACUACCGAUCGAGUGAUUUAGU
rnacentral:rRNA from 1 species